AGCGGCGGACGGGUGAGUAACGCGUAUCCAACCUGCCUUACACUCUUGGACAGCCUUCUGAAAGAGAGAUUAAUACAAGAUGUUAUCAUGAGUAAGCAUUUUCACAUGAUUAAAGGUUUACCGGUGUAAGAUGGGGAUGCGUUCCAUUAGAUAGUAGGCGGGGUAACGGCCCACCUAGUCUUCGAUGGAUAGGGGUUCUGAGAGGAAGGUCCCCCACAUUGGAACUGAGACACGGUCCAA
rnacentral:rRNA from 1 species